CACGUAGGGUGCGAGCGUUGUCCGGAAUUAUUGGGCGUAAAGAGCUCGUAGGCGGUGUGUCGCGUCGGCCGUGAAAACCUGCAGCUUAACUGUGGGCGUGCGGUCGAUACGGGCAGACUAGAGUGCGGUAGGGGAGACUGGAAUUCCUGGUGUAGCGGUGAAAUGCGCAGAUAUCAGGAGGAACACCGGUGGCGAAGGCGGGUCUCUGGGCCGUAACUGACGCUGAGGAGCGAAAGCGUGGGGAGCGAACAGG
rnacentral:rRNA from 1 species